AGCGAACGCUGGCGGCAGGCCUAACACAUGCAAGUCGAACGGACCCUUCGGGGUUAGUGGCGGACGGGUGAGUAACACGUGGGAACGUGCCUUUAGGUUCGGAAUAGCUCCUGGAAACGGGUGGUAAUGCCGAAUGUGCCCUUCGGGGAAAGGAUUUAUCGCCUUUAGUAGCGGCCCGCGUCUGAUUAGCUAGUUGGUGAGGUAAUGGCUCACCAAGGCGACGAUCAGUAGCUGGUCUGAGAGGAUGACCAGCCACAUUGGGACUGAGACACGGCCCAAAA
rnacentral:rRNA from 1 species